rnacentral:rRNA from 1 species
UUACCUGGUUGAUCCUGCCAGUAGUCAUAUGCUUGUCUCAAAGAUUAAGCCAUGCAUGUGUAAGUACACGCCAAACUAAGGCGAAACCGCGAAUGGCUCAUUAAAUCAGUUGUGGUUCCUUAGAUCAUACCACAUCCUACUUGGAUAACUGUGGUAAUUCUAGAGCUAAUACAUGCCGAGAGUACCUCGAGCCCGCGAGGGCGAGGGAGCAUUUAUUAGACCAAAACCAAUGGGUCGUGGCUCGCCACUUCCCUUUCCCUUGGUGACUCUGAAUAACUUUGUGCUGAUCCGCAUGGCCUUGUGCCGGCGACAUAUCUUUCAAGUGUCUGCCUUAUCAACUUUCGACGGUAGAUUACAAGCCUACCGUGGUUAUAACAGGUGACGGGGAAUCAGGGUUCGAUUCCGGAGAGGGAGCCUGAGAAACGGCUGCCACAUCUAAGGAAGGCAGCAGGCGCGCAAAUUACCCACUCCCGGCACGGGGAGGUAGUGACGAAAAAUAACGAUAUGGGACUCGUCCGAGGCCUCAUAAUUGGAAUGAGUACAAUCUAAAUCCCUUAACGAGGAUCUAUUGGAGGGCAAGUCUGGUGCCAGCAGCCGCGGUAAUUCCAGCUCCAAUAGCGUAUAUUAAAGUUGUUGCGGUUAAAAAGCUCGUAGUUGAAUCUCAGUUCUGGGCGCGCACGGGGUCCGCCAACACACUGGUGGACUGCUGACGUGCCUGGAGCAAAACCGUCCGGCUUGUCCCACGGUGCUCUUAACCGAGUGUUGUGGGUGGCCGACAUUUUUACUUUGAGAAAACCCAGAGUGCUUAAAGCAGGCGCUAGACGCCCGAAUGACUGUGCAUGGAAUAAUGGAAAAGGAUCUCGCUUCUGUCUUUGUUGGUUCUUCGGAAGGCGAGAUAAUGAUUAAUAGGGACAGACGGGGGCAUUCGUAUUGCGACGUUAGAGGUGAAAUUCUUGGAUCGUCGCACGACGAACUACUGCGAAAGCAUUUGCCAAGAAUGUUUUCGUUAAUCAAGAACGAAAGAUAAGAGGUUCGAAGGCGAUCAGAUACCGCCCUAGUUCUAACCAUAAACGAUGCCAACUGGCGAUCCGCCCCAGUUAAAUGUACAGACUGGGCGGGCAGCCUCCGGGAAACCAAAGUCUUUGGGUUCCGGGGGAAGUAUGGUUGCAAAGCUGAAACUUAAAGUCAUUGACGGAAGGGCACCACCAGGAGUGGAGCCUGCGGCUUAAUUUGACUCAACACUGGAAACCUCACCAGGCCCGGACACCAAAAGGAUUGACAGAUUGAGAGCUCUUUCUUGAUUUGGUGGGUGGUGGUGCAUGGCCGUUCUUAGUUGGUGGAGCGAUUUGUCUGGUUAAUUCCGAUAACGAACGAGACUCUAGCCUGCUAACUAGCCGGUGGAUCAUUUUGUUUUAUGCGGCGAGCCGGUUCUUUUCCUUCUGGAUUGGUCUGGCGAGUUGCGUUCACCGUGUCUUCUUAGAGGGACCGGCUGCAUUCAGCAGCACGAGACGGAGCAAUAACAGGUCUGUGAUGCCCUUAGAUGUCCUGGGCCGCACGCGCGCUACACUGGAGGAAUCAGCGUGCACUCCCUGCCCGAGAGGGUCGGGUAACCCGCUGAAAUUCCUUCGUGAUUGGGAUCGGGGUUUGCAACUAUCCCCCGUGAACGAGGAAUUCCCAGUAAGCGCGAGUCAUCAGCUCGCGUUGAUUACGUCCCUGCCCUUUGUACACACCGCCCGUCGCUACUACCGAUUGAAUGAUUUAGUGAGGCCUUUGGACUGGC